rnacentral:rRNA from 1 species
AACGAACGCUGGCGGCAUGCCUAACACAUGCAAGUCGAACGAGAUCUUCGGGUCUAGUGGCGCACGGGUGCGUAACGCGUGGGAAUCUGCCCUUUGGUUCGGAAUAACAGUUGGAAACGACUGCUAAUACCGGAUGAUGACGAAAGUCCAAAGAUUUAUCGCCAGAGGAUGAUCCCGCGUAGGAUUAGCUAGUUGGUGUGGUAAAGGCGCACCAAGGCGACGAUCCUUAGCUGGUCUGAGAGGAUGAUCAGCCACACUGGGACUGAGACACGGCCCAGACUCCUACGGGAGGCAGCAGUGGGGAAUAUUGGACAAUGGGCGAAAGCCUGAUCCAGCAAUGACGCGUGAGUGAUGAAGGCCUUAGGGUUGUAAAGCUCUUUUACCCGGGAUGAUAAUGACAGUACCGGGAGAAUAAGCUCCGGCUAACUCCGUGCCAGCAGCCGCGGUAA